CAGUCGCCACGGGAAUACGUAGGGGGCAAGCGUUGUCCGGAAUCAUUGGGCGUAAAGCGCGUGUAGGCGGCUCAAUAAGUCUGCUGUGAAAGUCCAGGGCUCAACCCUGGGAUGCCGGUGGAUACUGUCGAGCUCGAGUCCGGAAGAGGCGAGUGGAAUUCCUGGUGUAGCGGUGAAAUGCGCAGAUAUCAGGAGGAACACCAAUGGCGAAGGCAGCUCGCUGGGACGUGACUGACGCUGAGACGCGAAAGCGUGGGGAGCAAACAGGAUUAGAUACCCCGGUAGUCCCUGUCUCUUAUAC
rnacentral:rRNA from 1 species